GGACGGAUGGCCGAGCGGUUUAAGGCACCAGUCUUGAAAACUGGCGUACGUGAUGAGCGUACCAUGGGUUCGAAUCCCAUUCCGUCCG
rnacentral:tRNA from 1 species